ensembl:antisense
AGGAUCAUAGGUGCUCUGACACUCACAGGCUCACAGGCUCACAGGCUCACAGGAUCACAGGUGCUCUGACACAGGCUCACAGGCUCACAGGCUCACAGGAUCACGAUCACAGGAUCACAGGCUCACAGGCUCACAGGAUCACAGGCUCACAGGAUCACAGAGGAAGCUUGAUUCCUAGAAGAUUGGACACACAUGGGAGCACUGGAGCUCUGACACACUCAAGACCACAGCUGAGGCUACAACAUUUUCCCCAACACUCAGCAUAACUGGGACCCCCAAGGAACCAGGGAAACACAAAUCUCUGCCUAGACAGAGACAUGGAUUCCUUCCAGUUUGCACCUGUGCCCAGAGCAAACCCAGGGCUAUGGUUCCCCACCUACCCCUGCAACACCCAGAGGAGGCCAGUGACACCCUGGAGCUGGUGUUUACAGGGAACCUCCAGAGACUCAGCGUGUGGGCUGAGCCAGGUUCUGUCAUCGAAUCAGGGAACUCUGUGACCAUUUGGUGUGAGGGGACCAUGAGAACCCAAAUAUAUUUCCUGUAUAAAGAAGGAAGCCCAGCAUCCUGGGACAGACAAAUUCCAAAGCACCCUGGUAACAAGGCCAUGUUCUUCAAUGCAUCCAUGGGAAAGCAUAAUGCUGGACGACAUUGCUGAUACUGUUACAAUUCCGAUGGGUGGUCACAGCACAGUGACAUGCUGGAGCUGGUGAUGACAGAUGUCCACCAUGGCAAGCCUACUCUUUCAGCCUUUCCCAGUCCUGUGGUGACCUCAGGUGGGAAUGUGACCCUCCAUUGUGUCUCUUCAAAAAAUAUGAUUGGUUUAUUCUGACUGGGAAAGAUGUGAAGUUCUUCAGGUCCCAGAAGGCACAGUUUAUACACACAAGUCCAAGACUCUGUUCCCUGAAAUCUCUGUGGCAUCUAGCAAGAAGGGGCCCUUUAGAGGUCAUGGAUACAAUGCAAGUACUCCUCAUGUGUGGUCAGAGGUCCAUAACCCUCUGGAGAUACAUGUUUCAGCCUUGGAUACACAGGAUCAUCACACAGUGGUAUGGCUGGCUUGGUCCUUGAAGUCCUUUGAAUUCUGCUGCUUGUAGCUUAUUACAGCUGGAGAAAGAUUCAACAUGAAGAUAUAAGGCAGGUGUUUCUGAUGACUGGAAAAACAGCUUCACCACAGCCCAGAGUGAAGAGUUUACCAAGAUCUUUCAGGNGUAAGGGGCAGAUACUGGGGAAGACUGCAGCCAGAACCUCACUGACAAGCCUUAUGAAGAGACAAGAAUGUAUAGAAAAGGCAUGAAAGAUGAUACAAAUACAAUUUAGAAGAUAAAAGCUAACAAAUGUAAACACCAGCAUCAGGAUAGUAUGGGUUGCUCUGGACUCAGCUUGGCCUCUGGGGUUCUGAUUGGGAGUGAGGAUGUGCUGCAUUCGCUNNNNNNNNNNNNNNNNNNGGAGAAGUACCAUGGAGACACUGGUCCAGACCAUGAUGCUCAUGAAUGUGGCAUCAUGGGCAAACCUCAAGAAGACAAUGCCUACACUGAAUCCAGAAGUGGAACAGAACAACUUGCUUUUAGAGUCAUUAUUAUUGUCUGUUAUCUGUGGACCAGUGACUUUAAUUGGAAUGUGGAUGUUACUUAAGACACUGAAGAACCAACAACUGUAACAAGAAUAACUUGCCAUGUUUGUGACACUUGCUCUGAGUAUAAGUUUUCCUUUAUUAACAGGAACAAGAGUGACAAACUGAUGGAUACUCAGGACACAGGUGGAACACAAGUUUGUGCUUCUUGCCACCAGGCGAGUAAAGAAUUCUAAUUUACAUUUGAGGUCAGUUAGAGGAUUUCUUGGAGCAAAAGCCAUCAUGUUGUUUGGAAAUAUAGUGAGGAAGAGAGUCAAGGCGUUGGUCACAGCCAUGUGGCUUAAAAGCACCUGUCUGGGCCUCUGUUGAGAACCAGUCAAGACUGGAUAGAAAUUAUGGACAAACAGACAGACAUUGGCCACAGUUCCAACCCCAAACUGGCAAAGCAAGAGGAUCUGAAGAGCCACUUCCUCAGUGGUUUUCAGGGAUUUACCAUGAGCAGACAUGGAGAGGGCUUUAUACAACCCUAGAGUGAUGAUUAGGCAGGACACUGCUACCCUCAGGAGUCUGUUCUAUUGUCCAUGCUUAUAAAUUGGUUUGGGAUAAUUUCUUCUCUUGAUAAGUGAGACACUAUUCUAUCACAAUAAAGGAACUUUGCCUGGAGAACAAUGUAGGGACAGUAACUCAGAAUAAUGUUUUAUACUUAUUGAAUCACUCCUGCCUCGAGAUAUAUUUUGUAUAGCAACUACAUCUUUAUGAUCACAUAGGUCAAUAACCUACACAAUAACACACAUUUUAACAUACCAUAGGCUUUUGAUUACAAAUAAAGACAGGAAAGAGACUCGUAUGAGUAUGUAAUUCCAUCAUCAGAAUUCAAUACAAUUAGGAGGGGAGGAUGCUGCAAAUGGCAUGUAAAUUAUUCAAAAUCACUUAAUCAAUAAUAAAUUAAAGAGUCCUUCAUCAGAUUUUGGCAUCAGAAUUCAACAUAAUUAGGAGAGAGAAGAGGCUGAAAAAGAAAUGAAUCUUAAUCAAUAAAAUAAAUUAAUCC